GAUGAACGCUAGCGGCAGGCCUAACACAUGCAAGUCGAGGGGUAGAAUACUUCGGUGUUUGAGACCGGCGCACGGGUGCGUAACGCGUAUGCAAUCUACCUUGUACAGAGGGAUAGCCCAGAGAAAUUUGGAUUAAUACCUCAUAGUGUUAUCGAAUGGCAUCGUUUGAUAACUAAAGUUCCAACGGUACAAGAUGAGCAUGCGUCCCAUUAGUUAGUUGGUAAGGUAACGGCUUACCAAGACAAUGAUGGGUAGGGGUCCUGAGAGGGAGAUCCCCCACACUGGUACUGAGACACGGACCAGACUCCUACGGGAGGCAGCAGUGAGGAAUAUUGGACAAUGGGCGAGAGCCUGAUCCAGCCAUGCCGCGUGCAGGAAGACGGCCCUACUGGGUUGUAAACUGCUUUUGUACGGGAAG
rnacentral:rRNA from 1 species